ensembl:lncRNA
UGUUCAUACACUUUCCUCUUUACCUCAGAGCUGCUGUUUAGUGCAGGUCUAUCUUUCUCCUCUUCCCACACUAAGUUUACACUCCCAUGAUGCUUUGCUCUCAGUGUGAAAUUCCACCAGGUGUGUAUUUACCUCAGUCAAGCACAUGAUCAGGUAACGCCUUGCUUUUUCAACUGUUUUUUUGCUGGUUUUAUUGGACAGAUAGAGAACAGCAGAGGAGCUCCAUUCAGAUGACAGGGAAUCUUCCAACCAGGGUUUCUGAAAGUUAUGGGACAUGGACAGCCCCAACCUCACCAGAACAUAAAGUCGACAGGUUUCUGAAAGUUAUGGGACAUGUUCAGCCCUAACCUCACCAGAACAUAAAGUAGACAGGUUUCUGAAA